rnacentral:rRNA from 1 species
AAUGAACGCUGGCGGCGUGCUUAACACAUGCAAGUCGGAUGUGCCGCAAGGUGCAUGGCAGACGGGUGAGUAACGCGUGGGGAACCUACCUUCUUGUGGGGAAUAACGUUCCGAAAGGAGUGGUAAUACCGCAUGAGACCAUCGACUGGGAUGUUGGUGGUGAAAGCCGGGGAUCGAAAGACCUGGCGCAAGGAGAGGGUCCUGCGUCUGAUUAGCUAGUUGGUGGGGUAAUGGCCUACCAAGGCGACGAUCAGUAGCCGGCCUGAGAGGGUGAUCGGCCACACUGGAACUGAGACACGGUCCAGACUCCUACGGGAGGCAGCAGUGGGGAAUUUUGCGCAAUGGACGAAAGUCUGACGCAGCAACGCCGCGUGGGUGAUGAAGGUCUUCGGAUCGUAAA